UACGUAGGUGGCAAGCGUUGUCCGGAUUUACUGGGCGUAAAGAGCGCGCAGGCGGUCGUUCAAGUCGCGUGUGAAAGCCCCCGGCUCAACUGGGGAGGGUCACGCGAUACUGAUCGACUCGAAGGCAGGAGAGGGAAGUGGAAUUCCCGGUGUAGUAGUGAAAUGCGUAGAUAUCGGGAGGAACACCAGUGGCGAAGGCGACUUCCUGGCCUGUUCUUGACGCUGAGGCGCGAAAGCUAGGGGAGCAAACGGG
rnacentral:rRNA from 1 species